AAUCAACGCUGGCGGCGUGCCUCAGACAUGCAAGUCGUACGAUUAAAGCUCUCUUCGGAGAGUGUAUAGAGUGGCGCACGGGUGAGUAACACGUAAGUAAUCUACCUUCGAGUGGGGAAGUAACAGUCGGAAACGACUGCUAAUACCGCAUAAUGCAGCGGCACCUAAUGGUGACAGUUGUUAAAGACAUUUAUGUGCUUGAAGAGGAGCUUGCGGCAGAUUAGCUAGUUGGUUAAGGUAAUGGCUUACCAAGGCGACGAUCUGUAGCCGACCUGAGAGGGUGGUCGGUCACACUGACACUGAAUAACGGGUCAGACUCCUACGGGAGGC
rnacentral:rRNA from 1 species